rnacentral:misc_RNA from 1 species
GGAAAAAAAAAGAGUAUAGUAUUUUUCUAUUAUAAUUUUAUUUUUUACAAAUUAAAAUUAAGUACUUCUAUGAUAUAUACCUUCAAUUCAGGUACUAUAGGUGUAAUUUACCCCAGCCAUUACCAUACUCCCCGCUUUCCCUAGGGUCUACAGUGUCGAACGUUGCGAUUCCGAUGUUGGCGGCGCUGCGAUCUCGCUUUUUCCUUUCCACUUCACCAUCAUCUUCUUUCAUCCAUCGAUCAUGGAAGCUAGGGUUUUCAGGUUCCAGCCACACUUUCUUUUCAUCAAAUGUCGAAUCCAGCAGCAGCAACAAAGGUUUACUGGACAUAAACGAGGUUGAGAACGUUCUCAAAGACGUGAGAGCGGACGACGUGAAAGUGAUACCAGUCGGAAAGCACUGUGAUUGGGCUGAUUAUAUGGUGGUCGCCACCGGUAGGUCGACAUGGCAUGUCAAGAACAUCGCUCAGGCACUUAUUUACAAGGCUAAGGAAAAGCAGAGAGGAGCUCAGCGGAUGAUGCUUCCAAGCUUGGAAGGGCAAGAGGGAGGAAAGUGGAUUGUCAUUGAUUCUGGUUUGUUUGUUCUGCGCUCUAUAAUGCUAGAAAUGUUGGUAUAUUCAAUACAGGAACACUUCUCUUUGACAGGAAUAUUGAUUCCUUCCAUGCAGCUAAUAGGGGAAAUUAGUGAAAUUUGCACAAUAUCAUGUUGUUAUGAAAAUUUUUUUGUUACCCAAGUUGGGUUUAUAUUUUGUGCUGAUUGUUACCUUACAAGGCAGUUCAAAUUGUUCAAGUUCUUCUGAACAAUUUCCAAAUUUUGGUAUUUGAUGAAAGUUUAUGGUAUUUACAAUUAUUGUUACUCUAAUUCAUCCAUUGGGUUUCUUUGUCUUCUUUAGGUAAGGUGAUAAUUCAUGCUCUUGAUGAGAAGGCCAGAGCUUAUUACAAUUUGGAAGAUCUCUGGACCUCUGGCAUGCCGCCAAAAGAACCUGUUCAGGUAAAUGAUAAUUUUAGCAUAACUUCUAAAACUCUUUUACUAAUUUUUGUUUGAUCUACUACUUCAUAUUUUAUACGCACGCAUGAUACACAUUAGCUGGAUUUUUACUUUUUUAACAAAAGAAAGUGAGGAAUUACGAAAUAUAACAUGGAAUUGAUAAUUAAAUUUUUCAUUGGCUUUCUUGGGGUGAAAUAAUGGACUUUCAAGAGUGUGGUAUCAGAUGUUAACAGCUUUUUGAGAUUCGGUUUAUUCCCUUUAUUUUAUUUAUUUGCUAAAUCUUAAGUUCCUGUAUACAAAUGUGUUAUGGUGAAUGAAUGUGCCUCCAAGGGAAAAUUGUGCUUUAAAAUAUUCAUGUCUUUUUCCAUCCUUGCACUGUUGUCCUUUUAUUAUUAUAUAUUAAUUCCAUAAUCCAUGAUUUGAAAAGAAGGCCAAAGAGAGAAUAUAUCUACUUGUUCCAGAUUAGUUGUCCAUCGUAUGGUCCUGCACAAAUCCCUUGCAUGCCAGGAUGAUAAUCCUCAAUCCAAAAGCACCUCUCUGACAUGCACAAACAAGCAUUUAACUUAGUCAGAAAGCCAAGAUCAUUUAGAUAGUUUAGCUUGAAGCUAUUAUGUAAGAGAUGUUAAAAACAUUCUCUGUUUGUUGAAGGAUGUAUGUUUUCUUGAGAAUGAUCUAGCUAUUGUUGUCUAGAUUUAUCUCUAAUAUAAUGUAUCUUUUUUGAAAAUUUCAACCCAUCAAUGGCGUUUUGAUUAGGGUGGGAGCAAAUGAGAGUGUGUUUCUGAUUGUUUCUUGCUAGGGAGUGCAGAAUGUUCUCCGCUGAUGAGUUGCAAAUUAUACGUCUAGAAUGUAGACCAAUAAUAACACAUCAGUUAGAGUUUAUUCAUGUGUAUUGUCAUUGUCUGGGUUUGAGAUGGAAUAUGCCUGAGGUGCUGUUGGUGUGCGGAUGGUGCCUUGGUUUUAUUUAAUUUGAAUCCUCCUUUAAAAUCACUUCCUACCUUGUCUCAAAGAGCUUUUGAACAUUUUAAUUUGAAUUUCUGGUUGCCACAAUUUGCUUCUAACAAAUUAUUAACUAGUGUACCUUGUCCUAUUAUAUUUUUCUUUGGGGACUCUGGUUUGUGGUGUUUCUUCUAACAAUUUGCUUCUUCUGUUUCUUCUUAUGUUCAGGAUUUAGAGAAAGCGUUUGUGAAAAUUCGUCCCAAGAAUAAUUCAAAAAGACGAGCAGAAAGGCAUGCCUAAGCCCAGAUGAAUGAAAAUUUGCUUAUUUAGUUUUUUCACAUCAUGAAGUUCUUUGCUUCAUUCUUUGUGAUCUGUACAUUGUUAUCUCCAGUAUGUUUCAUUUGCAGUUAAUGGUACUUUUAAUAUAUUCUUAUUCUUAUU